CUGUACUUGCGUAUCGCUUGAUUGUAAUCAUGUCUGGUACGAUUUGACUCGAUUGCACUCAAAACACGUUUUUCAUUGUCUUUUGGUACCGGUGACAAUAAUAAACCAAUACUAAUAAUGCCCAUUCUUGUUAUCCUGUGCCAUUCUGAAGAUUGGGACCAGCUUUCACCGGAAGGAACCAGUGCGCUACCAGGUGAACCAGCCGCUGCCCUGGAAGGUUCAGAACGUCAGCCGCAAUCGAAGAUCCAGUCGGGUUGACGAGCAAGGACGGAGGCUCUCGAUGAAGCCGUGCUAAUCGCUCGAAGGGCAACACAGCAAGAGGUGUUAAACGUUGGGAAGAAAAUAUCUUUGCGGAACUCAGCCUGGAGAGUGUAGCUAUGACCAUCCAGACACAAUACCGGAGAUAUCAAGAAUGCAAAAAGUAUGAACAAAAUCCAUAUGUGAUGUGGAGACACAAGAGACUGCAGAUGUAGGAAUCCCGAGCAAAAAAACAAACCGCUAGAGGGACUCAGCGGGCCAGGAAGCGUCUGUGGAGGCAAAUGCUGGGUCAGGACCUUCCAAAUGUUGUCUGUCCAUUUCCUCAACAGAUGUGGUCUGGACCACUGAGUUCCUCCAGCAAUUUGUUACUUCCAUAAAUGAUGUGUUCUUGAAGAUGUCCCUCAUGUGUAAUGUUGAAUAUAAGGCCAAGUGAUUGGAAUUUAACAUUAAUGAUUAGAUACCAGGUCACAGACGUAAAGCUAGAUCAUGUCCAUUCUCCUGUAUGUGUCUUAUUGAUCUGUAUAUUUCCAUGAUCUUUAAUAAAGAUUAGGAGGACA